UGUAAUUGACACGCAAUUUUAUAGUCAAUCUUGUGGCGCCAGAGUUCGGUAUGGGCGUCGAUGCGUGUGAUUAGACGGGUGCACGUGGGAUAAUUGUAGAGUAAUUACGUAGAAGCUGAAUAACUAUGAAGCAUAGAAACUUGGAGACACUCACUCGCCGCGAAGUGUACGUUGACACUUAUUUACAUUUAUUGGAUUCGAAGGUACAAAAAUAGGAAACUCAGUUUGUACACAAAUUGACAAUUACUUAAAAAUAAAAAUUAGACAUAGUAAAAGAAAUUCUACAGGAAACUAUACUGAAUGGCUUCACUGUGAUAAAGAUGAUAAUCGUUCGGGGCUUAGUUGCCGUGACGAAGCGUGCAGUGUCGUCGACGUGAGCGGCAUUUUGCAUAUUUCAUGCCAUCCUGGAUCAUCGGCGUUAACUGCCACGAAUCGAUUACAAAUGAAAAACGACCAUAA